rnacentral:rRNA from 1 species
GAAAGUAAGCAAGGGCAGACGGUGGAUGCCUUGGCUCUCGGAGGCGACGAAGGACGUGAUAAGCUGCGAAAAGCUCGGGGGAGGCGCAAAUAGCCCUUGAUCCCGGGAUAUCCGAAUGGGGCAACCCGGCAGGCUGAAGGCCUGCCAUCCCGUAAGGGAGGCGAACGUGGGGAACUGAAACAUCUAAGUACCCAUAGGAGGAGAAAAUAAACAAUGAUUCCGUAAGUAGUGGCGAGCGAACACGGAAGAGCCCAAACCCAUGUCGUCUAGGCGACACGGGGGUUGUAGGACCACGACGUGGCAAGAUAGAGUCAAGUGGAACGCCUUGGAAAAGGCGACCGUAGAGGGUGAUAGUCCCGUACACGACUGACGAUUGAAGCCUAGUGGCAUCCUGAGUAGCGCGGGGCACGAGAAAUCUUGCGUGAAACUGCGGGGCCCAUCCCGUAAGGCUAAAUACUCCCGAGAGACCGAUAGCGAACCAGUACCGUGAGGGAAAGGUGAAAAGAACCCCGAGCAGGGGAGUGAAAUAGACCCUGAACCCGUCUGCCUACAAGCGGUCGGAGCGUUGUUAUGACGUGACGGCGUGCCUUUUGCAUAAUGAACCUACGAGUUACCUUCCCCGGCAAGGUUAAGUACCUAAGGUACGGAGCCGAAGCGAAAGCGAGUCUGAAGAGGGCGGCCAGUCGGGGGGGGUAGACGCGAAACCGAGUGAUCUACCCUUGGCCAGGUUGAAGGUUGGGUAACACCAACUGGAGGACCGGAUGGGUAAGCGUUGAAAAGCUUUCCAAUGAGCUGAGGGUAGGGGUGAAAGGCUAAUCAAACUCGGAGAUAGCUCGUACUCCCCGAAAUGCAUUUAGGUGCAGCCUCUUUAUAGUAUAUCGUGAGGUAGAGCGACUGAUUGGAUGCGAGGGCUUCACCGCCUAUCAAGUCCAGAUAAACUCCGAAUGCGCGAUAUAUAUUUAAAGGGAGUGAGGGCGCGGGUGCUAAGGUCCGUGUCCGAGAGGAGAAGAAUCCAGACCACCGGCUAAGGCCCCCAAAUGAUCGUUAAGUUGAACUAACGAGGUCGGAUCGCAGAGACAGCUAGGAUGUUGGCUUGGAAGCAGCCAUUCAUUUAAAGAGUGCGUAACAGCUCACUAGUCGAGCGAUCUGGCGUGGAUAAUAAUCGGGCAUAAACGAUCUGCCGAAGCCGUGGAUGUCGCAAGACAUGGUAGGGGAGCAUUCCAUGCGGCGUCGAAGAUGAGGGAUGACCCUUGUUGGAGCGCAUGGAAAAGCAAAUGUAGGUAUGAGUAACGAUAAGGGGGGCGAGAAACCCCCCCGCCGAAAGACCAAGGUUUCCUGAUCAACGCUAAUCGGAUCAGGGUGAGUCGGGACCUAAGGCUAAGCCGAACGGCGACGCCGAUGGAAGAAUGGGUUAAUAUUCCCAUACUGCCUCAUGGAGUGACGUGGAGACGGAGAAGUGACAGUCCUGCCGGCUGACGGAAUAGCCGGUUGAAGGGUGUAGAUAUUGAUUCCCGUAGGCAAAUCCGCGGGGAGAGUCGAACCUGAGAGUAUACGGAGCGCUUGCGCAACGUAAUAUGGACGUAACCAUGCUCCCAAGAAAAUCCGCUAAACUUAUCCAUGCGGCACCCGUACCGUAAACGGACACACGUGGUCGGGUUGAGAAUACUGAGGCGCUCGAGUGAUUCACGGUUAAGGAACUAGGCAAAUUGACCCUGUAACUUCGGGAUAAAGGGUCCUCGUCGUAAGGCGAGGCGCAGAGAAUAGGUCCAGGCAACUGUUUAACAAAAACACAUGGCUGUGCUAAAUGGAAACAUGAUGUAUACAGCCUGACACCUGCCCGGUGCUGGAAGGUUAAGAGGAGAUGUCAUCGCGAGAGAAGCGUUGAAUUGAAGCCCCAGUAAACGGCGGCCGUAACUAUAACGGUCCUAAGGUAGCGAAAUUCCUUGUCGGGUAAGUUC